AGAUUGUAUUAUACCACCCACAAAGUAACAUACAUGGUAACUCGUAAGCUGGCAAAAUGUAUUAAAUUCGUGUGAUAACGACUGUCGUUUUCUGGCCAGGCGAGGAUAAAAACUGUGCGAAUCACAGUGCGUACCAGGAAAAUAUGGCGUUGAUUGUCAAUAUCAGUGCACUUGUGAUAUAAGCAAGUCUA